CCUCUACCAUGGAGUAAAGGCAAAUUUAGAGCUUAAAAAGCUUUAAUUUAAGCUUGCUAAAGCUUAUUUUUAAGGUUGAAGUCCGUGGUUGCUACUUGAAUAUCAGAAGAGUAGCUUCAGACCAGAAGCGACUAUUUUAGUAGUGGUAGAAUUAGUUUGAUGUACUUAAGAAUCAUAGCAUGUAUAAUUAUUACAUUUUUGGAGAUUAUGUUAUUUGAAUUAUAACUUAAGCAUGUAAUGAUAAAUUAGUUUGGUGUA